CUGCAUGGCUGUCGUCAGCUCGUGUCGUGAGAUGUUUGGGUUAAGUCCCUUAACGAGCGAAACCCUUGUCACUAGUUGCCAGCGCGUUAUGCGGGGACGUCUAGUGAGACUGCCGGUGUUAAACCGGAGGAAGGCGGGGAUGAUGUCAAGUCAGCAUGGCCUUUAUAUCCUGGGCUACACACACGCUACAAUGGCCAACACAAUAGGUUGCUAAGCCGCGAGGUGGCGCCAAUCCAUAAAGUUGGUCUCAGUUCAGAUUGUAGGCUGCAACCCGCCUGCAUGAAGAUGGAGUUGCUAGUAACCGCAGGUCAGCUAUACUGCGGUGAAUACGUUCCCGGGGCUU
rnacentral:rRNA from 1 species